rnacentral:sRNA from 1 species
GUUCGAGUUGCUUUUACGACACAAGGUC